rnacentral:tRNA from 1 species
GGUUGUAGCUCAGUGGUAAGUGCUCGCCUCGCACAUGUGGGACCCUGGGUUCGAUCCUCAGCACCA